rnacentral:rRNA from 1 species
UACACUCCUGCGGGAGGCAGCAGUGGGGAAUUUUGGACAAUGGGCGAAAGCCUGAUCCAGCCAUGCCGCGUGCAGGAUGAAGGCCUUCGGGUUGUAAACUGCUUUUGUACGGAACGAAACGGCCUUUUCUAAUAAAGAGGGCUAAUGACGGUACCGUAAGAAUAAGCACCGGCUAACUACGUGCCAGCAGCCGCGGUAAUACGUAGGGUGCAAGCGUUAAUCGGAAUUACUGGGCGUAAAGCGUGCGCAGGCGGUUAUGUAAGACAGUUGUGAAAUCCCCGGGCUCAACCUGGGAACUGCAUCUGUGACUGCAUAGCUAGAGUACGGUAGAGGGGGAUGGAAUUCCGCGUGUAGCAGUGAAAUGCGUAGAUAUGCGGAGGAACACCGAUGGCGAAGGCAAUCCCCUGGACCUGUACUGACGCUCAUGCACGAAAGCGUGGGGAGCAAACAGGAUUAGAUACCCUAGUAGUCCCAUGA